rnacentral:misc_RNA from 1 species
AGCAGCCGCGGUAAUUCCAGCUCCAAUAGCGUAUAUUAAAGUUGUUGCAGUUAAAAGCUCGUAGUUGAACUUCGGGGUUUACUCAUUGGUCAGGCUUAAUUGUCUGUACUGGUGAGAUGAAUCUCUACCUUCUGAGGAACUUUCAUGCCAUUUAUUUGGUGUGGUUGGAAAUCAGGACUGUUACUUUGAAAAAUUAGAGUGUUUAAAGCAGGCUAACGUCUGAAUACAUUAGCAUGGAAUAAUGAAAUAGGACGGAUUGAUUCUAUUUCGUUGGUUUCUGGGGUCACCGUAAUGAUUAAUAGGGAUAGUUGGGGGCAUUAGUAUUCAAUUGUCAGAGGUGAAAUUCUUGGAUUUAUUGAAGACUAACUACUGCGAAAGCAUUUGCCAAGGAUGUUUUCAUUAAUCAAGAACGAAAGUUAGGGAUACGAAGACGAUCAGAUACCGUCGUAGUCUUAACCAUA